GGAUGAGGGGGGAUUUAUCAGCAUCAUCUCUCACCUGGUUGCUCCCUGGAGUCAACUUCACGAUUAUUCCUUCCUUCUCCUCUUGGGCAUCUCUUUUAGAAACUGCUCAACCAGGUGGUGAAGACAGUCUUGCCACAUAGAGAAGAACUUUUUGUGUUCAGAGGUUUACAAGCAGUUUCACUCGUCGGUGGGAGCCUCUAAAGAUGCUCUCAAGGCCAUUAGCAAUUUGUCCAGAGCUGUAGAAUUCCAGGUCUCUUUAGAGUUGGGGAAUCAGUGGUGACCUCCCUACCAUU
rnacentral:snRNA from 10 species